rnacentral:rRNA from 1 species
GAAUUGACGGGGGCCCGCACAAGCGGAGGAGCAUGUGGUUUAAUUCGAUGGUACGCGAGGAACCUUACCUGGGUUAGAACGCAUGAUAAGUGUAGCUGAAAGGUUACAGGCCUGCGAGGGAUAUCAUACGAGGUGCUGCAUGGUUGUCGUCAGCUCGUGCCGUGAGGUGUUUGGUUAAGUCCAGCAACGAGCGCAACCCCUACCUUUAGUUGCCAGCAGGUAAAGCUGGGGACACUAGAGGGACUGCCUGCGCAAGCAGAGAGGAAGGUGGGGAUGACGUCAAAUCAGCACGGCCCUUAUGUCCAGGGCUACACACGUGCUACAAUGGUAACUACAGAAGGCAGCGACUAGGCGACUAGGAGCGAAUCUCGAAAAGUUAUCUCAGUUCGGAUUGGAGUCUGCAACUCGACUCCAUGAAGGUGGAUUCGCUAGUAAUCGCGCAUCAGCAAUGGCGCGGUGAAUACGUUCCCGGGCCUUGUACACACCG